GAUAAGCAAAGAAAGAGAAUAAUAAUAAUAAAGAAUGCCAGGAGGAAAACAUAUAACAAAUUUUAGACAUAUCAAUUACAUGAUAAGCAAUUCAAUCUAACAGUAUUGGAUGAAGAAACUGAAAAAUCAGAAGAUGGUUGUGAGAAAGGAUUUGCUUUCUAAUGUCCUCGCCUGAAUUUCACUGAAUUAAGAAUAUUUCAGGUAGACUAUGGCCAAAAAUAGGAUAUGUAAUAUUUGGAUACCAAUCAGAAUGUGCAGUCUCCUAUCAAAUCCAUCUGUACUACCCUCGUGCGGUCAUUCAGGAAGCAACUUUAUAUGGAAAAUGGUGUGGCAAGCUCACAUUCCUAUCAGUUUUCUCUGUGUGUUUCCGUGCAUUUUUUGUGUGCGCACAUGCUUGGCUUUAUCUCAUAUUCUAAUAUAUGAAAAUUUAACUCAGAAAAGUUCAUUGAAAAUAUUGCCUCAAGUGCACAAGAGAUUGGCAUUUGUUGAUGAUCUAUUCUCCGUUUGCUGGUAGAAAGAUGUGCAUGUUUGUAUCUUUCAUUGAUAGAGGGUGUUACGAAAAGUUGGAAGAGAUGUCAUCAAGAGGGGUGGGGGAGUCAGCUAGGGAAAUAAUAUCAUAACAUAAAGGAUGCUUCAAUCUUGUGUUCAGAGAAAUGGUAGGCCAUUUGUCGGCAUUAACAGUUUGUUAAUGAGCUAAAAUCUGGAAUUUUGAGAACAACAUUUUUGUGUCUCUUCUCCCUUAAAGAUGGAUUUUCAAGCUAACUGCAGCAAUUCAUUGAUAGAAUUAACAUUUUUCAUCAUCUAAGUCUUUUUCCCUUGUUAGUUGUGUAUAAGCCACCUUAUAAGCCAACUCCGCCUAAGUAGUUUGCG
rnacentral:misc_RNA from 1 species